ensembl:misc_RNA
CUGACGUGCUGUGGAGACUGAAUUCCCUUGUCCUCAGAACAGCUUCCCCCACACUGCCCUACCACGUGCUGUGACCCUGGCCUAGAGGAGCCACCUCUGGGAUGAGAUGGGGGCAGCCAGUCCCCGUUAGCUCUCACAUGCUCUACU